AUUGGUUUAGCCAUUUCAGCCCUCUAUUUUCUUGAGACUUUCUGACCUCCAACAUCUCCAGCUUCCUUCAAUCCUGAAAGAGCCCUUAACUCCAAUAAACAAAGGUAGUUAGCAAGUAAGAGAAACUGGGCAAGAAAGAGAGGUGUCAAACCAACUCCUUAUACUGCAGACUUCUAAGUUCAAGACCACUUAAUUAGAAGACAUAGCCGAUGUGCUCAGAAAAAAACAUGAGAUGGUCAGAAAUGAUGACAAGAGGAGAGAGAGAGAAGGAGAAGUGAAUAAAGAACAUCAGUGUAAGAGCUGUUAAGGUUUUUGUUGUGUUCAGAUUUGCACUGAUGUAGUAGUUUAACAAGUCUAGAAAUCAAUCAGUGCAAUUCUCUCAUUAAAACCCAAUAAAACAUGUCUUGUU